rnacentral:lncRNA from 1 species
AAAAGCAGGAGGAAAUGCCCUUUUCUUUCCCACCCACAUGACUACUGCCUUUAAAGGCAGUUCAUGCUUGAAUGGAAAGGGAAGUAGGCAUCUUUAAUCUCUAUGAUUAAAGAAAAGAAAAGUGUUAACUGGAGGAAUUCAUACUUGACUGACAAGUAGCCAAAAGCUAUACUAUCAGGCACAAUUAACUUUAUGGUUCCUUAACCGGACUCCAUACCUUUUGUUUAAUUUCCAGCCCCAAGCCCCUGGAGCCGUCUAUGGCUACAGUAAAAGUGUUGGAGAUAGGAAAGAAAAGAGAGUGACCCUGAUUUCCUGUAUUAGGUGUGUUGCUGACGUCCCAAAGUGAAAGUUUAUUUUUCAGCAACAUUGCAUUUGGCUUGAUGGAUUCUAUAAUAUGUUGUCUGAGAUCUAAUCACUGUAUACUUGGAUGCGAAAUUCUCACCGAAGCACUCAACCUAAACCUUUUUCAAGUUGGGUACUGCUUUUAGUAACUUUCAAAAUUCUUUGAAUCUUCCAUUUUAAUUGAUAGAAGGAAACCUCAUUAAAUCAUGGAUAUUUGUGCUACACUAUAGAAAUUUGAACUUUCUGUUUCUAAAUGCCUAACUUGAAAAAAAAAGCUUAAUGAGCCAGCCCUGAUGGCCUAGUGGUGAAAGUUCAGUGUGCUUUGCUUGGCUGGUCUUGGUUCGGUUCCUGGCUGCAGAACCACACCACUUGUCUGUCAGUAGCCGUGCUGUGGCAGCAGCUCAUAUGGAAGAAGUAGAAGGACCUACAACUAGAAUAUACAACUAUGUGCUGGAGCUUUGGGGAGGGAGGAAAAAGAAAAAGAAGAAGAUUGGCAACAGAUGUUAGCUCAGAGCUAAAGUUUCCCAGCCAAAAAAAAAAAAGCUUAAUAAUUAUUCAGAAAGAUCUAAUGCUAUCUAUAUAGACAGAAAUUAAAAUAUUUACCUUUAAGUAUAAAGAUUGCUUAAAUACGUUAUUCCUUACCUAAUCAAAUUAAUUUUGGCUAUUCAUGAUUAUUUUGAUCAUUUUUAUCUUGCCUUUGUCAAUGAUGGACAUGCUUGACAUUCAAUUGGGGACUCAUAAAGAGUCAUUUUAUUCAUUGAAUAAUCAAAAAUUUAUUUUUUCACUUAAACUAUAAUCACAGUUGUUAAUACAGACGAAAACCAGAAUAUGAUGAGUAGUUUAAAUCUAAUAAAAUCUAUUAAUCUAUCUACUGAGGUUUAAGCUGUAGUCAUUUUUUUUCUGCCUAAAGGACUGUCUUAUGGUAAUCCAAGUAAAAAUUCAAUUUUACCAUUUAGAAGACCUGUAAUUUUAAAACAUUUAUUUUCACAUUUUCUAGUCUGAAGCUUCAAAAGACAAGUUGAUUUUAUUUGUCAAAAUCAAAAGAAUGAAGGCUAGUUAGGUUGCUAUAAAUCACUUUGUGACCUCAGCAAGAUUUUAAAUCCUCCAGCUCUUCUCUAUUCCGCUCUGUCAACUUCCUUGACUUCCUUCCCUUUCUACC